rnacentral:rRNA from 1 species
UGGGGAAUAUUGCACAAUGGAGGAAACUCUGAUGCAGCGACGCCGCGUGAGUGAAGAAGUAAUUCGUUAUGUAAAGCUCUAUCAGCAGGGAAGAUAGUGACGGUACCUGACUAAGAAGCUCCGGCUAAAUACGUGCCAGCAGCCGCGGUAAUACGUAUGGAGCAAGCGUUAUCCGGAUUUACUGGGUGUAAAGGGAGUGUAGGUGGCCAUGCAAGUCAGAAGUGAAAAUCCGGGGCUCAACCCCGGAACUGCUUUUGAAACUGUGGGGCUAGAGUGCAGGAGGGGUGAGUGGAAUUCCUAGUGUAGCGGUGAAAUGCGUAGAUAUUAGGAGGAACACCAGUGGCGAAGGCGGCUCACUGGACUGUAACUGACACUGAGGCUCGAAAGCGUGGGGAGCAAACAGG